AGAAUCAACGCUGGCGGCGUGCCUAACACAUGCAAGUCGAACGAGAAAGGGGUAGCAAUCCCUGAGUAAAGUAGGCGCACGGGUGAGUAACACGUGACUAACCUACCCUGGAGUGGGGGAUAACUGGAGGGAAACCUUAGCUAAUACCGCAUAAUACCCACGGGUCAAAGGAGCAAUUCGCUCCAGGAGGGGGUCGCGGCCGAUUAGUUAGUUGGCGGGGUAAUGGCCCACCAAGACGAUGAUCGGUAU
rnacentral:rRNA from 1 species